rnacentral:rRNA from 1 species
GGUGGUGUCGUCCAGGGGAACACCCAGCUCCCUGUAAUUGACAGGGAGCUGCCCCAGCAGCUUCGACCAGGUCAUAUCUUUAACAUUGGGGCAGGGAAACAAGCUCUGAAGAACAUAAAUGCGCUCGGACUAUUCUCCAACAUAGAGGUGAAUCCACGACCUGAUGACACAAAAGAAGGGGAUCCCAAAUCAGCCGACGUGGAGACAGUGUGGAACUUUGUACCAGGGGAUCAGGGACGACCAACUCUUGCAUCCAUUCAACCUGGAGGAGGUGUGACCUUUGAGCACCGCAACAUCGGUGGCCUGAACCGAUCUCUCACUGGUUCUUUCUCAUCGAGCAACCUGCUCAACCCUCAGGAUGAUGUUUCAUUCAAGCUCGAGUACACACAUCCUUACUUGGACGGUGUGGAGGACCGGAGCAGGAACCGUAUCUUCAAAGCCAGUUGCUUCAACACCAAGAAACUCAGCCCUGUCUUUGUAGCCGGCCCCAACAUGGACGAUGCUCCACCCAUCUGGGUCGACAGAGUUGGAAUCCAAGCUAACGUAACAGAGAACCUCACAAAGCAGAGCAAGUUCACUUAUGGCCUCGUGUUGGAGGAGAUCACAACGCGUGAUGAGAGCAAUGAUGUGUGCACACAUGGGCUUCGGACGACGGCCACCGGUGCCCUUGGCAUGGACGGCCCCCCUACGACGUUCAGCGGCACCGGUGUGGACAGGAUGGCGUUUCUUCAGGCCAAUGUGACCCGGGAUAACACGGAGUUCGUCAACGGCGAGACCAUCGGCGACAGAUGCAUCUUCCAGGUGGACCAGGGCCUGGGCAUCGGGAGCAGGAACCCGUUCUUCAACCGCCACCAGCUGACGGUCACGAAGUUCGUGAACAACAAGCAAGAGAAGGGAGCCGGGAAGCCGCCGCCGGCCGUGCUCGUCGCCCAUGGCCGCUACGCAGGGUGCGUGGGGGACCUGCCGAGCUACGACGCGUUCGCGCUCGGAGGGCCUCACUCGGUCAGGGGCUACGGCAUGGGCGAGCUCGGCGCCUGCAGGAACCUUCUCGAGGUCGCGACGGAGGUGCGCAUCCCUGUCCCCGUGAUGAAGAACACGCACGUGUACGCUUUUGCCGAGCAUGGCACCGACCUCGGGAGCUCCAAGGACGUCAAGGGGAACCCUACAGAGUUCUUCCGCCGCGCCGGCCAGGGAUCGUCGUACGGCGUGGGCGUCCGGCUUGGCCCGCUCAGGGCGGAGUACGCCGUCGACCACAACGCCGGCACGGGAUCCGUCUUCUUCAGAUACGGCGACAGGUUCUAG